rnacentral:ncRNA from 2 species
AUGAAAUUUUAGAGAGAUGGCCUACAUGGCAGCCGAAGGAACAAAUAUAUCAUCAUGCCGAGAUGAUGUAUGAAAUUCUCAGGCAAAAGUAUCUAAAGUGGACA